AGCAGCCGCGGUAAUUCCAGCUCCAAUAGCGUAUAUUAAGGUUGUUGCAGUUAAAAGCUCGUAGUUGAAUUUCGGGAUCAGCGCGUCGGUCGUGCCUCCGGUAUGCACUGGCGCCGCUGGUUUCUCCCUUCUGAGGAACCGUGAUGUCAUUAAUUUGGUGUUGCGGGAAAUCAGGACUGUUACUUUGAAAAAUUGAGUGUUUAAAGCGGGCACGCGCUUGAAUACAUUAGCAUGGAAUAACGAAAUAGGACGUUCGAUCUUAUUUGUUGGUUUCUAGGAUUGACGUAAUGAUUAAUAGGGAUAGUUGGGGGCAUUAGUAUUCAAUUGUCAGAGGUGAAAUUCUUGGAUUUAUUGAAGACUAACUACUGCGAAAGCAUUUGCCAAGGUAUGUUUUCAUUAAUC
rnacentral:rRNA from 1 species